GGCAGCACUUCUGAUGUUAACCACAACAUGCCUCAAGGUACAUCAGGGACUUUGAAAGAGAACAUCAUCAGAGAAGGCUGCUUUGUUGAGGUUUAUAAAGAUGACGACAAGAUCAAAGGUGCCUGGUUCGCAGCAAAUGUACUUACUCUGAAGGAUGGAAAAGCAUUUGUCUGUUACACUGAAAUCCAAUCCGAUGAUGGGUCAGGAACAUUGAAGGAGUAGGUUCCACUUGAAGCUGAAGCCAGUGAGGCACCCAGGAUACGCAUUGCGCAUCCCAUGACA